rnacentral:rRNA from 1 species
UACCAGCACCCCGAGUGGUCGGGACGUUUAUUGGGCCUAAAGCAUCCGUAGCCGGUUCUACAAGUCUUCCGUUAAAUCCAGCUGCUCAACAGAUGGGCCGCGGAGGAUACUACAGAGCUAGGAGGCAGGAGAGGCAAGCGGUACUCAGUGGGUAGGGGUAAAAUCCGUUGAUCCAUUGAAGACCACCAGUGGCGAAGGCGGCUUGCCAGAAUGCGCUCGACGGUGAGGGGUGAAAGCUGGGGGAGCAAACCGG